GCGCCAGUGGUGUAACGGCUAGCAUUGAUGCCUUCCAAGCAUUAGUUCCGGGUUCGAUUCCCGGCUGGCGCA
rnacentral:tRNA from 1 species